GUAGGUGGCAAGCGUUGUCCGGGAAUUAUUGGGCGUAAAGCGCGCGCAGGCGGUUCUUUAAGUCUGAUGUGAAAGCCCACGGGCUCAACCGUGAGGGUCAUUGGAAACUGGAGAACUUGAGUACAGAGGAGGAAAGCGGAAUUCCACGUGUAGCGGUGAAAUGCGUAGAGAUGUGGAGGAACACCAGUGGCGAAGGCGGCUUUCUGGACUGUAACUGACGCUGAGGCGCGAAAGCGUGGGGAGCAAACAGGAUUAGAUACCCUGGUAGUCCACGCCGUAAACGAUGAGUGCUAAGUGUUAGGGGGUUUCCGCCCCUUAGUGCUGCAGCUAACGCAUUAAGCACUCCGCCUGGGGAGUACGGCCGCAAAGGCUG
rnacentral:rRNA from 1 species